rnacentral:lncRNA from 1 species
AACAAGUCAGGACACCUUCGGGCAAGCUGAAGCGUGUGACAGUCACUGGAAAGCUGUUUCGACACUAAAAAAGGGGAGAAAAAAGGGAAGGAGGUUUAUUUCACCCUGGGGUGCAAUAACCUGAGGCAGAAGUGGCUCAGCUCUGGGGCAGACAGUCAGUGUGUGCCCCUCUGAGUGCCCUCCAAAAAGGCCUCAGGGAGGCCACGACUCCUUUGGGCUCCUGUGGGUCACUGCCCUGCACGGGAGCCAGUCCUCCAAAACUUCUCCAAAAUGAGCUGAAAUACGAGUUAUGUUGGAAGUCACCACAGAGGGCUGCUGUAAGCCCUGUCCAAGCUGAGCUGGAGCACUUGCAGGUGCUGAGGAGAGUGCAGGCAGCAGGAGCACGGCCCUUUCCCCCAGCAGCGAGGCACCGCUCUGACCCCGCAGCGGGGCUGGGGCUCACCCCCCGGGCACGGCUUCGCUGCCUCCCGCUCCCCUCAGCAAGGAAAACCCCACUGUUUGUCCCUGUUCCAGCACAUGAGAGAUUUUUAUAGCAGUAACAACACAGUGCCUGAAAUACUGCAGGGAGAAAUAAAAUAAGACUGCUAAUACCAUAUUACAGUCUCUAGAAGAUGGAAAGGUGGAACUGGAGAGCAACAAGAGAGAAGCCACUAGAUGCCCUCGUUCCCACAAUCAAAGCGUGCUAGGCAAAGGAAGCAGAAAGCAGAACAUGCCUGCCUGAAAAGCAAGUUUGGAAGCCGGAUAAAUCAUGGUGAGUGUGAUUUGGUUAUCAGACUGAUGCUGCAGACACACUGGAACACCACAGCACAAAGAAAUGGGGGGUGUUUCCUGUUCCAGGAGCUGGAUUUAAUAGCACAUGAAGUCAGUCCUAACAUUUUCAAACUGCCUGGACAAGAAAUAGCACCGUGUGUGAAUUUCAUGAAGUAGAAUGUGGCUGUCAAGAGUUAAUAACAGCUGGCAGUGUAUUUACCUCACAAAUCCAGGCACCUUCUCAGUGCCCUCACCUCCUUGUUUCCCUGCAUAUCAUGGACCUGUGAUUCCUCCAGCAGGGUGAGAAACAGAUUCCAGACACCACCAGCUACAAAGUAAGACAUGUUUGUCAUGCCAGCUGCCUCUGCUUUCUGGGCCUGUGUCAGCUCUGUGCUGACUCCAAUAAACUCACAAAAACGUGUUUUCUGCUGGAGGCA